GACGAACGCUGGCGGCGUGCUUAACACAUGCAAGUCGAACGGAAAGGCCCUGCUUUUGUGGGGUGCUCGAGUGGCGAACGGGUGAGUAACACGUGAGUAACCUGCCCUUGACUUUGGGAUAACUUCAGGAAACUGGGGCUAAUACCGGAUAGGAGCUCCUGCUGCAUGGUGGGGGUUGGAAAGUUUCGGCGGUUGGGGAUGGACUCGCGGCUUAUCAGCUUGUUGGUGGGGUAGUGGCUUACCAAGGCUUUGACGGGUAGCCGGCCUGAGAGGGUGACCGGCCACAUUGGGACUGAGAUACGGCCCGGACUGCUACGGGAGGCAGGAGGGGGGAAUGGUGCACGAUGGGCGGAGGCAUGAUGCAGCAACGCCGGGUGCGGGAAGACGGCCGUCGGGUUGUAAACCGCUUUCGCCUGUGACGGAGCGUGAGUACGGGUAAUGGGUAAAGAGGCACCGCCAACCUACGG
rnacentral:rRNA from 1 species